GACGAACCGAGCGAACGUUGUUCGGAAUCACUGGGCUUAAAGGGCGCGUAGGCGGGCUGUCGCGUCCGGGGUGAAAUCCCGCGGCUCAACCGCGGAACGGCUUCGGAUACGGGCGGCCUCGAGGGGGGUAGGGGCAUCUGGAACUGUGAGUGGAGCGGUGAAAUGCGUUGAUAUUCACAGGAACUCCGGUGGCGAAGGCGAGGUGCUGGACCCCAUCUGACGCUGAGGCGCGAAAGCCAGGGGAGCGAACGGG
rnacentral:rRNA from 1 species